GAGGGGAGAACCAGUAGCCACCAUCCGUCCUCUAAUAAUAUGUGGAGGCUGAGAAGGGGAGACACAGGAGCACAGACUGAAGCAGCCAUACUCUAUUUGCUUCCCUCUUGUGUCUGCUGCAUCCUGGGCUACUUCUCUUCCUCAUUUCAGGAUUUUCUUCUGGCUGCCCCUCUGCUGUGACCUUUUGCUCCCAGGAAAUACAAAAUCUUUGGGGGUUGCAUGCCUCCCAACUUUUUGGAUGGUCAAAAAGGGACAUUUAUGGUUCAUUGUGCGAAAUAUCUAUUUUUCCUGCAUAUCUAUACACUUCAAUGGUUUUCUUUGCACAAUAGCGCAAAAAUUAACUGAAUGUUAAAAUUUCGAAAAUCCAAAUUGCAUGAAACAAUGAAAUAAUAUACAAUGCAGCUCUAAUAUCCAGAGAGGAACCAGACAAACACUUUCUGGGUCAAUAUUGUAAUUGUAAUAAUGUUAAACUAUACCUCAGAUCAAAAUGAGGGACAUGUAAGGAGCAAAGAGGGACAGAUGAACUUGGGUAAAAAAUAGAGACUGUGCCUCCAGAAAAGGGACACUUUGGAGUUCUGGGGUUGGAAGAUGAAGAGAUAGAAGCAACACAAACCACACAUGAAAAUAUAAUAAAAUGUAAUAAGAACAUUAAGCAUCAAACCUCACAGAAGACCCCAAAAUAAAUUCAGAUCCCAGACCAGAACCUUCAUGGUAGAGGGUGGGAAGGUGAUCACAGUAGAGGGUCACAAAUGGAUCCUGGUAAAGGCUGGGAAGGUGAUCACAGUAGAGGGUCAGACAGUGAUCCUGGUAGAGGUUGGGAAGGUGAUCAUGGUAGAGGGUCAGACAGUGAUCUUGGUAGAGGGUGGGGUGGUGAUCCUGGUAGAUGGUGCGAAGGUGAUCAUGGUAGAGGGUUGGAAGGUGAUCAUGGCAGAGGGUGAGAAGGUGUUCCUGGUGAAGAGUGGAAAGGUGAUCAUCGUACAGGGUGGGACAGUGAUCCUGGUAAAGUGUGGGAAGGUGAUCAUGAUAGAGGGUCAGACAGUGAUCUUGGUAGAGGACAGGGCAGUGAUCCUGGUAGAGGGUGCGAAGGUGAUCAUGGUAAAGGGUGGAAAGGUAAUCACAAUAGAGGAUCACACAGUGACCCUGGUAAAGAGUGGAGAGGUGAUCAUGGUACAGGGUGGGACAUUAAUCCUGGUUGAGGGUGGGAAGGUGAUCAUGGUAGAGGGUGGGAAGGUGGUCAUGGUAGAGGAUGGGACAGUGAUCCUGGUAGAGGGUUGGAAGGUGAACAUGGUAGAGAGUGGGAAGGUGAUCAUCGUAGAGGGUGAGAAGGUGAUUAUGGUAGAGGGUGGGAAGGUGAUCCUGGUAGAGGGUGGAAUGGUGAUCCUGGUAGAGGGUGGGAUGGUGACCUAGUAUAGGGUCAGACAGUGAUCCUGGUAGAGGGUGGGAAGGUUAUCACAGUAGAGGGUCAUACAUUGAUCCUGGUAAAGGGUGGGAUGGUCAUCCUGGUAGAAGGUCAGACAGUAACCCCGGUAGAAGGUGUGAAGUUGAUCAUGGUAGAGGGUGGGAAGGUGAUCACAGUAGAGGGUCACUCAGUGAUCCUGGUAUAGGGUGGGAAGGUGAUUAUGGUACAGGGUGGGACAGUGAUCCUGGUUAAGAGUCAGACAGUGAUCCUGGUAGAGGGCAGGAAGGGGAUCAUGAUAGAGGGUGGGAAGGUGAUCCUGGUAGAGAGUAGGACAGUUGAAUCAAAUAAUAACCACAGCCAAGGUUUUGGCUUUUGUUAGGUACACGCCCCUUGUUGGUCCUUUUCUACCCAAGGGACCACAAAUAAGCAAAAUAUAAUCCUGGAUUAUGCCUAGAGUGUUUCAGACUUGCUUGAGAAAGGGCCAUCUAAUGUAAGGGCCCGAAAUGUUACUGUUCUGAUAUCUGCACUGGGCACAGCUGAAUGAAAUAAAAACAAGCAUGUUAAAAUUCAAGAACGUUAGGGGGUAGGACAGUGAUAGUGGUAGAGGGAGGGAUGGUGUUCAUGUUAGAAGGUGGGACAGUUAUCAUGGUUAAGGAUGGGACAGUGAUCGUGGCAGAGGGUCAGACAGUGAUCGUGGUAUCGGGUGGAGCUAUGAUCGUGGUAGAGGGUAGGACAGUGAUAGUGGUAGAGGGUGGGAUGGUGAUCAUGUUAGAGGGUGGGAUGGUGAUCAUGUUAGAGGGUGGGAUGGUGAUCAUGUUAGAGGGUGGGAUGGUGAUCAUGUAGAGGGUCAGACAGUGAUGGUGGUAGAGGGUGGAGCAGUGAUCCUGGUAGAGGGUGGGGCAGUGAUCCUGGUAGAAGGUGAGACAGUGAUAGUGAUAGAAGAUGGGACAGUGAUUAUGGUAGAGGAUGGGACAGUGAUCGUGGUAGAGGGUCAGACAGUAAUCCUGGUAGUGUGUUGAACAGUGAUUAUGGUAGAAGGUGAGACAGUGAUUAUUGUAGAGGAUGGGAGUGAUCUUGGUAGAGGGUAGGGCAGUGAUCAUGGCAGAGAGUGGCACAAUGAUUGUGAUAGACAAUGGGACAGUGAACCUGGUAGAGGGUGAGACAGUGAUUGUGGUAGAAAGCGGGGCAUGUUUUGUGAUAGAGGGUGGAGCAGUGGCUGGAGGAGUGCUGGUUUUGGCCAGCUUUCUCUGGGUGUAACUUGUUGGCAGCAGUCGCAGUAAUUUUUUUUUCUUGGUUUUCUACGGUCUUCUGCCAUGUAAUCAUGAUUUUCUUUC